AAAAAAAAAAAAAAAAAAAAAUAUGUCUUGAAAACAUAAGAAAGAAGUAAAGUCUUCUAUUAAUUU
rnacentral:tRNA from 1 species